rnacentral:rRNA from 1 species
UACGUAGGAGGCGAGCGUUGUCCGGAGUACUGGGCGUAAAGCGCACGCAGGCGGUCAGAUCAGUCUGGAGUGACAGUCGUCGGCUUAACCGACGAAGUGUUCUGGAAACUGUCUGACUUGAGGGCUUCAGAGGGACACGGAAUUCCGGGUGGAGUGGUGAAAUGCGUAGAGAUCCGGAGGAACACCAAAGGCGAAGGCAGUGUCCUGGGGAGUACCGUGACGA